CCUACGGGUGGCAGCAGUGGGGAAUAUUGCACAAUGGGGGAAACCCUGAUGCAGCGACGCCGCGUGAGGGAUGAAGUAUUUCGGUAUGUAAAGCUCUAUCAGCAGGGAAGAAAAUGACGGUACCUGACUACGAAGCCCCGGCUAACUACGUGCCAGCAGCCGCGGUAAUACGUAGGGGGCAAGCGUUAUCCGGAUGUACUGGGUGUAAAGGGAGCGUAGACGGGCGUGCAAGUCAGAUGUGAAAGCCGGGGGCUCAACCACUGGACUGCUGUUGUAACUGUAGGGCGAGAGUGCCGGAGAGGCAGGCGGAAUUCCUGGUGUAGCGGUGAAAUGCGUAGAUAUUAGGAGGAACACCAGUGGCGAAGGCGGCCUGCUGGACGGUGACUGACGUUGAGGCUCGAAAGCGUGGGGAGCAAACAGGAUUAGAUACCCGAGUAGUC
rnacentral:rRNA from 1 species